GUGAGGAAUAUUGGUCAAUGGGCGGGAGCCUGAACCAGCCAAGUCGCGUGAAGGAAGAAGGAUCUAUGGUUCGUAAACUUCUUUUGCAGGGGAAUAAAGUGCGGGACGUGUCCUGUUUUGUAUGUACCCUGAGAAUAAGGAUCGGCUAACUCCGUGCCAGCAGCCGCGGUAAUACGGAGGAUCCGAGCGUUAUCCGGAUUUAUUGGGUUUAAAGGGUGCGUAGGUGGUUUGAUAAGUCAGCGGUGAAAGUUUGCAGCUUAACUGUAAAAAUGCCGUUGAAACUGUCGGACUUGAGUGUAAAUGAGGUAGGCGGAAUGCGUGGUGUAGCGGUGAAAUGCAUAGAUAUCACGCAGAACUCCGAUUGCGAAGGCAGCUUACUAAGCUACAACUGACACUGAAGCACGAAAGCAUGGGGAUCAAACAGGAUUAGAUACCCCUGUAGUCC
rnacentral:rRNA from 1 species